UGGGGAAUAUUGCGCAAUGGGCGGAAGCCUGACGCAGCGACGCCGCGUGAGGGAUGACGGCCUUCGGGUUGUAAACCUCUUUCAGCUCUGACGAAGCGCAAGUGACGGUAGGAGCAGAAGAAGCACCGGCCAACUACGUGCCAGCAGCCGCGGUAAUACGUAGGGUGCAAGCGUUGUCCGGAAUUAUUGGGCGUAAAGAGCUCGUAGGCGGUCUGUCGCGUCGAAUGUGAAAACCCGGGGCUCAACCCCGGGCCUGCAUUCGAUACGGGCAGACUAGAGUUCGGUAGGGGAGUCUGGAAUUCCUGGUGUAGCGGUGAAAUGCGCAGAUAUCAGGAGGAACACCGGUGGCGAAGGCGGGACUCUGGGCCGAUACUGACGCUGAGGAGCGAAAGCGUGGGGAGCAAACA
rnacentral:rRNA from 1 species